UGUUCAAUCGGGUUCAAGUCUGGGCUCUGGCUGGGCCACUCAAGGACAUUCAGAGACAUGUCCCGAAGCCACUCCUGCAUUGUCUUGGCUGUGUGCUUAGGGUUGCAUUUUGAUUCAAGUGGGUUGCCAACGUGGUAAGUGUUAAUCCCUUCCAUGGAUAUCAUAUUGAAAUCAAUAUAACAGGAGGCAAAGAUUUUGGGUGUUUGCUCCACCGGCGGGCCACCCAUUAGGGGCGGUGCCCCACUUGUGAUUGGUCACCAAAUAUUUGUAAUAAAAAAUAUAUACAUUUAUAUUCACUACAGCUAAAAAGUUUGGGGUCACUUAGAAAUGUCCUUGUUUUUGAAAGAAAGCAAAUUUUUUGGUCCAUUAAAAUAACAUCACAUUGAUCAGAAAUACAGUGUAGACAUUGUUAAUGUUGUAAAUGACUAUUGUAGCUGGAAAAGGCUGAUUUAUUUGUUAAUGGAAUAUCUACAUAGGCGUAUUAUCAACAACCAUCACUCCUGUGUUCCAAUGGCAUGUUGUGUUAGCUAAUCCAAGUUUAUCAUUUUAUAAGGCUAAUUGAUCAUUAGAAAACCCUUUUGAAUUAUGUUAGCACAGCUGAAAAGUGAUGUACCCAUUAUUCCCAGAUUCCGUCUGGUUUUUGAGCUGUGUUAGUUUUAUCACAAACUAUUUCUGCAUAUUGGUUAUUGAUUUGGACACUUUAAUACUGUGUUUUGACAUUGGGUUAUUUAUCAGUUUUCUGUAUGUGACUGCAGUCUAAUCCAUUUGCUUUUGUCUUGUUUGUUAGUUUUUGUUCAAAAUGUCGAUCUUUUCUCUCACAUCCCUCUCCUUUUUCCUGCACGACUCCCUUCUUCCAUUUAUUGCUCUGUUGUCUGUACAAACACAACACUGGUUUAGUCAUGCCAUGGCUACAUUAACUGGCCCAAUUCCAGACAAGAAAGCUAACCACCAUCCUAAAAAAGUUUUUAAGAGCAACUGCCCCUAAAAAGCAACUAAUCCCUUUUGAAACGGCCUAUGUGGCAUCGAUAUGAGUCAGACAUUUAUUAUAAUGCCCGGGAGGCAGCCCGGUUCUGAAAUGAAUGCAAUCACUUUUCACCCGGGUCAAACUCCUCCCACCGGGGUAACCUGGGCCAGAUAAAUGAACCUCCUCAUUGGAUGGGAUGCCAUUGUUUCAUCGCCACCAGACCGUUCAAAUCAAAGGAUCACAGCCGUUUGAGACUGAAAAGUGAGUAUACCGGUAGCUAGACCAUAGACUGCUGGUUAUGCAUCUUGCUUUGCAUAUUUUGAGAAUCAUUAUCACUAUCAUCGCUAGCACCGUCACCGGCCUGAAUCUAAUCCAAUCUGGAGCCAGUCUGUCUACAUCUGUAAAGCAUAGAAUUAGCUUUCAACCGCAGCUUAAGAAAUAACGUAAUCAUGUUUAUAAUUGAGGGACGAUAACAAUCUUUGACCCUGUUUUUCUGUUAGACCAAGUGCACAGUUGGGUGCCAAACUGAUCCCCUGGCCAUGAACGGAUGCUGGGACCUACCAAAAGGAGCAAAGUUGGCUAUCAUAACAUGUCCAGCAAUGUGAUUGGAAUGGUUUAGGGACCUCCAAAAAAUUAUUUCAUCCACUGUUCACUUGCUAUUUUCACAGCUUGUCAGGCAAGACCUCAGAAUAAAAGUGUGUCAUGCGACACAAGUACCCUUGUGACACCUCCUAUGUUGUUGCCAGUCUCCCUUGACUCUUAUGAAAAGGACAUGCCAUCAUGAGGCCUCUAAUAGUGACAGGAGAUACUGCCCUGAUGGCACAGACGGCUUCAUAAACAACAACAGGCCCUUGCAGUCAACACCACCUCAUGAGAUUGCCUGCUGCAGUGGUUCGAGAGAUUUCCAGUUACAGCUGAAGACAAGCAAGUGGGCCCUUAUCAGCAUCAUGCUGACAUGCCCUCGCUGUGAGCGUUCUUAUGAACUCAGCCACAUGUUUGCAACAGCACCCUUCACCUUUCAGCGGCAAGAGCUUUUAUAGGCUCAUUAUUUGUACAAAUACACAAGGUAACCCACUAAAUUACUUUGAUACAUUUGAUAAAACAAUUGUGAAACGUAAUUUAUGUAAACUGACAUAGAUGCAUAUAAUGUCCAGGACACAACCUAGCCUGGUGGAACCAGCCUGAUUGCUGUGUUCACCAUUCUAUCUCACUUCACAUUUAAUAAUAUCUGCCAUCAGGUUGGUUCCCCCAGGCUACUCAUAACCACCAUUUAUAAUGUAAUCAGUGCUCUGUGUGUGUUUGUGUGUGACCGACCAGUAUCUUUGAUGAGGGACUAGGAGCUGAUCUUUGCUGCUAUGCCCAUCAAUAGGGCUCUGGCAAUGACCUCACCUCAAUGGGGAGAACAGAAUUAGAAACAUGUAUGGAGCCAGUACAUGGAGACUUCUAAGAUGAUGUGAUGAAGUCCAGACGGGGCUUGAUCCUGAUGUGUCUGAAUGGAGAGAAACCUGGCACUAACCAUAAACAUUUUACUAGACACAA